rnacentral:rRNA from 1 species
UUACUGUAAGAAUAAGCACCGGCUAAUUCCGUGCCAGCAGCCGCGGUAAUACGGGAGGUGCAAGCGUUAUCCGGUUUUAUUGGGUUUAAAGGGUGCGUAGGCGGCUUAUUAAGUCAGUUGUGAAAUCCUAGUGCUUAACGCUAGAACUGCGAUUGAUACUAUUAGGCUUGAGUUAAGAAGAGGUAAGUAGAAUUUAUGGUGUAGUAGUGAAAUGCUUAGAUAUCAUAAGGAAUACCAAUAGCGUAGGCAGCUUACUGGUCUUUAACUGACGCUGAGGCACGAAAGCGUGGGGAGCAAACAGGAUUAGAUACCCUGGUAGUCCACGCUGUAAACGAUGAUCACUCGAUAUACAUGAACUUUCGUGUGUGUCUAAGCGAAAGCGUUAA